GAUGAGAGUGUGAGAGGCCUUUGAGAUCGUCGAGGGCAAGUCUCAAGACAAGCCGCGGAGAGUGAUCUUCUGUCAGGUCCUGUAGGCUGUGGUGGCCAUGAGUCACUAUGGCAGAUGACACUGUCCGAGGCAGGGAAGGGCUGCUACAGCGUUUUCAAAGAGCAAGCACCAGAGAGAAGACAAAUACUCUAAAACCAGAGAUGGAGGGCACUCCAAGAUAACUUGCUUGCCAGAAAUUGCAAG
rnacentral:lncRNA from 1 species